UCCCCUGUGGUGACUUAGGGGAGGAGCCGGAAGAGAGCAGCGCUUCACAAUAAAAGGAAGAAUUGCUUGAACGGAGGCGGAGGCGUUUCAGGCAUGAGUCACAGGCUGGGUGUGGAGGAGGAAAGUGUGAAGCAAGGAACAGGCACCAGCUGAGACGUUGGCAGCAGCCGCUCCCCUGCAAGGAGCCCCUCCCACUUCCUGUCCCGCACACCUGCCUCAUUGGAAAGCGACGCACCCACUGUUUGGCCUCGGCAGCCUGAUGUUUCUCACCACACAGGAAGACAGUCAUGCUACAGGAAGACCUCGGACUUUGCAUCCAGCAGAUGGUUGUUCUAGGAAUUGCCAGAUUGACAACACACCACACACCCAGAAGGCACCCAAGUCACAGAGCCUGAUAUUGUUCCCAGAGCGCCAUUGCAUCACCCUUGACCACAAGACCUGCGUCAUUGGAUUUGUCUCCAAAACUUGGGACUCUGGAGAUAAAACGUCGUUGCAAGGCUACCUUUGCCACUGAAUCUUAGCAGCUUUUGAAGCAAAGCAUUUCAAUAUUUAGACACUGUGUGUUUCUAAUGGGUACUGGGAUCAAAAUAAUAAAAACUCAGCCUGCAAAGGGAGAAGAAUAGAAACCAGCAGAUUCAUUAUUUCACAGAAUGUUCCUCUCCUCUCAGUUCCUUGGCUGUAAAACAUUUUAUCAACUCUUGGCUGUGAUCUGUGGACAAUGACUGUGCACACCUACAGACUCACUCCUCAUCUUCGUGAGGCUGGGACAAGGGUACCCACGGAGGCUUGUCCCACAUCUGUAAAGGCCUCACAUGCAUGGCUGUGAGCCUCUCAGCCCUCAGGUCCGAGCUCCCCUACCCCUUAAACAACUCUCCCAACCCCACCCCACCUCAGGUCCAGGGUGAACAUUCCAGCAGUGUGGUUCACAGAACAUUCCACAGGGGAGACCCAGGGAAGACACCUGCACAGUCCUUAGAAAAAGGCUUAGGGUUUGAGGGUAAGGAAUCCCAGGAUCCCAGAUACCUGGUGUGGGCUUCAGGUGGGCUCGUGCCCUUGACCCUCCCAGCUAAGUGGCUCUGCUGGAGGAGGCGGACCAGAGUGGGACCCUCAAAGGCACAGAGCCCUGGGCCAAAACCCCCAAAUGCUCAAGUUUAAAAGUGAUACUUUAUCCUCGGGAAUCCUUGCGAAGUAGGAGUGAUUGUUUUCAAGAUAGCUUUAUGUUAAUACUCAAUUUAACCAAUUCGAGAAAUCGACAUAAAAUCAGCUAACCCCGUAUGUGUUUUUUUUGUUGUUGUUGUCGUUUUGUUUUGUUUUUGGCCCCUGACUUUUGUGGAGACCCAUGAGAUGCUUGGUCCUGAGCCUAAAGGAUGCAGGGGCCUGGCUGGGACCCAGCUGGGAAGCUGAUGCUGUUCUCCAGGAAACCUCUCUCCGCAGCCCGAAUGCUUGACUUUGAACUUUUCCAAGACUUCCAGCACCAGAGACUCAGGACUGACCAACUUUCUCAAUAUCCUAUUCCCCCAACCCCACUCUGGGCUCCCAGUCAAUCUCCCUCCCCCCUUUUUCCCCUGUAAAAAACCUAAACUGCUCAGUUAUUCUCCCUCAACCCCUGGAUCACAUCAGCCCCAUGGAGAGCUCCACUCUGGUCCACCACCUCCAGCAGAGCCACUUAGCUGGGAGGGCCAAGGGCGCAAGCCCACCGGGAGCCCACACCGGGUAUCUGGGAUCCUGGAAUUCCUCACCCCAAAUGCUAACCCUAAUUUUAGAACCUGAUCACAAAGGAUUUCAUCCUUGAAAGAAACUGUUCCAGCAAUCUUGAUUUUGACAUGAGUCUGGAAAGGAUCUUGAGCACUACAUGGGUCCCACUGGGGGUCCCACUGGGGGUCUCCUCCCAGUGGCUCCUGUUCCCUCCCGGCACAGCUGGCCUUUGCUCUGCACCUCCACUCCGCACUGAGGUCCCUUUGGCUAGUCCUCAUGGAGGGGCCUCAGGAGAAGUGGGGAAAGCACAGGUUCCCCACAAAAGACUCCAAUGUGGGCUCAGCCUAGUCAUGUGACCCUAGACAAGCUUUUAAUUUGCCUGCACCCCACAGCACAAGUAACCUCCCCUGCUGUUAUGGGUUGAGUUAUGUUCCUCCAAAAAAGAUCUGUUGCAGUCCUAACCCCCAGGACCUGAAAAUGUGACCGUAUUUGGGCAUAGGGUCUUUACAGAGGUCAUCAAGGUAAAGUGAGGUCGUUAGGAUGGGCCCUAGUGUGAUAUGAUUGGCGUCCCUACAAAAAGGGGAAAUUUGGACACGGAAACAGACAGGCAUUGAGGGAAGAUGAUGUGAAGAGACACAGGGAGAAGAUGUCAUCUACAAGCCACAGAGAGAGGCCCAGAGCAGACCCUCCCUUACUGCCCUCAGAAGGAGCCAGCCCUGCCAAUGCCUCGAUCUUGGACUUCCAGCCUCCAGAGCUUUCAGACAAUAAACGUCUGCUGUUUCAGCCCCCAUCUGUGGGACUUUCUUAAGGCAGCCCUAGCAACAAACCCACCUGCCCUGUUGACUUCCUGAAAUGAGAGAGCCACACGGCAGUGCUGCAUAAAGGGCAAGUGCUGCGGAUUCAUUCAGGCCAUGAGCAAUCAUUGAGCACCAACAGUGUGCCAGGGACCAUGCGUGAGCGCUAGGGGUCUGCACCACCAACUUAGAUAAAGUCCCUAACUUGCUUCCUUUACAUAAGUUAUUCUCCUAGCCACCAUGCAAGUGGAAUCAUCUCAGACUGCUACAGUCUUCAUAGCUCCUAGCUAAUCAUUAAGCACAUUGUAGGUGCUUAAUAAAUGCCUAAAUAAUUGAUUUACUA